rnacentral:tRNA from 1 species
AGACUUGUGGUGUAAAGGUAGCACCUCAGAUUUUGGUUCUGAUAGUUAAGGUUCGAAUCCUUACAAGUCUG